GUAAAUCUCCCUUUCUAUUGCGUCGCCUGCAGGGUAUAUAGCACAACGGCGAUUUCUUAUGAAGGAAGAGUUAAGUAUAUGGGCCAGUCAGUGCUUUAGAUAAGUGAAAAUGCACGUGAAUAUAAAGACAUCAUUUACCCUUUUAUUGGUAGCUGAGGUGUGCAUCGCUUGGCGACCCAUUGCUCACGAUCGGAGGUGCCAGGUCUACUUACCCGCACCAGCUUCGUCCAAAUGUGGAUCGCACAGAUAUCAAUACGACCGCAAAAGAAAUUUGUGCCAGCCAACAUGCUCCACGACGGCUCCAUUUCAAUCUUUCAUGGAAUGCAGCGAGAACUGCAGAAGCCUUGCGGUAUGCUUCAUGCAUCGCCCCCUAGCCAGCUGCGGAUCUGAAACAUUUCCCGUUUACUACUUUAAUACUGCGAAAGAUGCCUGCUUCGUGGAACAGGGAUGCACAUACAAAGGAAACAACUUCCCCACUUUAGCAGAAUGCCAACGCACUUGUAGGGCGAAUCAGUCCCAGCAAGCUGAGCUCCGCCUAGCCCCACACAAGAAACUUGCAACAUUUCCUUCCUCCAGUAGAUGCCAAAGAGAGUGAUCAAGCAUUGCAAUGACAUCUUUUCGCGUGAGAACAAAUAAAAAUGUUCAUUAUUGCAAUACCGA
rnacentral:misc_RNA from 1 species